rnacentral:rRNA from 1 species
GUCCUUAGUUACCAGCACGUUAUGUGGGCACUCUAAGGAGACUGCCGGUGGACAACCGAGGAAGUGGGGAUGACGUCAAGUCAUCAUGGCCCUUACGGCCUGGGCUACACACGUGCUACAAUGGUCGGUACAAAGGGUUGCCAAGCCGCGAGGUGGAGCUAAUCCCAUAAAACCGAUCGUAGUCCGGAUCGCAGUCUGCAACUCGACUGCGUGAAGUCGGAAUCGCUAGUAAUCGUGAAUCAGAAUGUCACGGUGAAUACGUUCCCGGGCCUC